AAUCAACGCUGGCGGCGCGCUUAACACAUGCAAGUCGCACGAGAAAGUGGAGCAAUCCAUGAGUACAGUGGCGUACGGGUGAGUAACACGUGGAUCAUCUACCUUUUAGUGGGGAAUACC
rnacentral:rRNA from 1 species